GUGGGGAAUUUUGGACAAUGGGCGCAAGCCUGAUCCAGCAAUGCCGCGUGCAGGAAGAAGGCCUUCGGGUUGUAAACUGCUUUUGUACGGAACGAAACGGUCCUGGCUAAUACCCGGGGCUAAUGACGGUACCGUAAGAAUAAGCACCGGCUAACUACGUGCCAGCAGCCGCGGUAAUACGUAGGGUGCGAGCGUUAAUCGGAAUUACUGGGCGUAAAGCGUGGGCAGGCGGUGCUGUAAGACAGGCGUGAAAUCCCCGGGCUCAACCUGGGAAUUGCGCUUGUGACUGCAAGGCUGGAGUGCGGCAGAGGGGGAUGGAAUUCCGCGUGUAGCAGUGAAAUGCGUAGAUAUGCGGAGGAACACCGAUGGCGAAGGCAAUCCCCUGGGCCUGCACUGACGCUCAUGCACGAAAGCGUGGGGAGCAAACAGGAUUAGAAACCCGAGUAGUCC
rnacentral:rRNA from 1 species